AGCAUAUCAAUAAGCGGAGGAAAAGAAACCAACAGGGAUUGCCCUAGUAACGGCGAGUGAAGCGGCAACAGCUCAAAUUUGAAAUCUGGCUUCGGCCCGAGUUGUAAUUUGCAGAGGAAGCUUUAGGCGCGGCACCUUCUGAGUCCCCUGGAACGGGGCGCCAUAGAGGGUGAGAGCCCCGUAUAGUUGGAUGCCUAGCCUGUGUAAAGCUCCUUCGACGAGUCGAGUAGUUUGGGAAUGCUGCUCAAAAUGGGAGGUAAAUUUCUUCUAAAGCUAAAUACCGGCCAGAGACCGAUAGCGCACAAGUAGAGUGAUCGAAAGAUGAAAAGCACUUUGAAAAGAGGGUUAAAUAGCACGUGAAAUUGUUGAAAGGGAAGCGCUUGUGACCAGACUUGCGCCGGGCGGAUCAUCCGGUGUUCUCACCGGUGCACUCCGCCCGGCUCAGGCCAGCAUCGGUUCUCGCGGGGGGAUAAAGGUCUCGGGAACGUAGCUCCUCCGGGAGUGUUAUAGCCCGGGGCGUAAUGCCCUCGCGGGGACCGAGGUUCGCGCAUCUGCAAGGAUGCUGGCGUAAUGGUCAUCAGCGACCCGU
rnacentral:rRNA from 1 species